CUGCAUGGAGCCGACCUUGAAAUACCACCCUUUAAUGUUUGAUGUUCUAACGUGGACCCGUUACCCGGGUUGCGGACAGUGUCUGGUGGGUAGUUUGACUGGGGCGGUCUCCUCCUAAAGAGUAACGGAGGAGCACGAAGGUUGGCUAAUCCUGGUCGGACAUCAGGAGGUUAGUGCAAUGGCAUAAGCCAGCUUGACUGCGAGCGUGACGGCGCGAGCAGGUGCGAAAGCAGGUCAUAGUGAUCCGGUGGUUCUGAAUGGAAGGGCCAUCGCUCAACGGAUAAAAGGUACUCCGGGGAUAACAGGCUGAUACCGCCCAAGAGUUCAUAUCGACGGCGGUGUUUGGCACCUCGAUGUCGGCUCAUCACAUCCUGGGGCUGAAGUAGGUCCCAAGGGUAUGGCUGUUCGCCAUUUAAAGUGGUACGCGAGCUGGGUUUAGAACGUCGUGAGACAGUUCGGUCCCUAUCUGCCGUGGGCGCUGGAGAACUGAGGGGGGCUGCUCCUAGUACGAGAGGACCGGAGUGGACGCAUCACUGGUGUUCGGGUUGUCAUGCCAAUGGCACUGCCCGGUAGCUAAAUGCGGAAGAGAUAAGUGCUGAAAGCAUCUAAGCACGAAACUUGCCCCGAG
rnacentral:rRNA from 1 species